UACGGAGGGUGCAAACGUUGCUCGGAAUCAUUGGGCGUAAAGCGCACGUAGGCGGUCCGUUAAGUCGGGAGUGAAAGCCCCAGGCUCAACUUGGGAAGUGCUUUCGAAACUGGCGGACUUGAAUACUGAAGAGGAUCGCGGAAUUCCCGGUGUAGAGGUGAAAUUCGUAGAUAUCGGGAGGAACACCAGUGGCGAAGGCGACUUCCUGGCCUGUUCUUGACGCUGAGG
rnacentral:rRNA from 1 species